GACGAACGCUGGCGGCGUGCUUAACACAUGCAAGUCGAACGGAAAGGCCCUGCUUUUGUGGGGUGCUCGAGUGGCGAACGGGUGAGUAACACGUGAGUAACCCGCCCUUGACUUUGGGAUAACUUCAGGAAACUGGGGCUAAUACCGGAUAGGAGCUCCUGCUGCAUGGUGGGGGUUGGAAAGUUUCGGCGGUUGGGGAUGGACUCGCGGCUUAUCAGCUUGUUGGUGGGGUAGUGGCUUACCAAGGCUUUGACGGGUAGCCGGCCUGAGAGGGUGACCGGCCACAUUGGGACUGAGAUACGGCCCAGACUCCUACGGGAGGCAGCAGUGGGGAAUAUUGCACAAUGGGCGGAAGCCUGAUGCAGCAACGCCGCGUGCGGGAUGACGGCCUUCGGGUUGUAAACCGCUUUCGCCUGUGACGAAGCGUGAGUGACGGUAAUGGGUAAAGAAGCACCGGCUAACUACGUGCCAGCAGCCGCGGUGAUACGUAGGGUGCGAGCGUUGUCCGGAUUUAUUGGGCGUAAAGGGCUCGUAGGUGGUUGAUCGCGUCGGAAGUGUAAUCUUGGGGCUUAACCCUGAGCGUGCUUUCGAUACGGGUUGACUUGAGGAAGGUAGGGGAGAAUGGAAUUCCUGGUAGAGCGGUGGAAUGCGCAGAUAUCAGGAGGAACACCAGUGGCGAAGGCGGUUCUCUGGGCCUUUCCUGACGCUGAGGAGCGAAAGCGUGGGGAGCGAACAGGCUUAGAUACCCUGGUAGUCCACGCUGUAAACGGUGGGUACUAGGUGUGGGGUCCAUUCCACGGGUUCCGUGCCGUAGCUAACGCUUUAAGUACCCCGCCUGGGGAGUACGGCCGCAAGGCUAAAACUCAAAGGAAUUGACGGGGCCCCGCACAAGCGGCGGAGCAUGCGGAUUAAUUCGAUGCAACGCGUAGAACCUUACCUGGGUUUGACAUGGAUCGGGAGUGCUCAGAGAUGGGUGUGCCUCUUUUGGGGUCGGUUCACAGGUGGUGCAUGGCUGUCGUCAGCUCGUGUCGUGAGAUGUUGGGUUAAGUCCCGCAACGAGCGCAACCCUUGUUCACUGUUGCCAGCACGUUAUGGUGGGGACUCAGUGGAGACCGCCGGGGUCAACUCGGAGGAAGGUGGGGAUGACGUCAAGUCAUCAUGCCCCUUAUGUCCAGGGCUUCACGCAUGCUACAAUGGCUGGUACAGAGAGUGGCGAGCCUGUGAGGGUGAGCGAAUCUCGGAAAGCCGGUCUCAGUUCGGAUUGGGGUCUGCAACUCGACCUCAUGAAGUCGGAGUCGCUAGUAAUCGCAGAUCAGCAACGCUGCGGUGAAUACGUUCCCGGG
rnacentral:rRNA from 1 species